GGCGACCCCAGCUGUGACUACCCAGGCGACCGCAGCUGUGCCUGCCCAGGUGACCCCAGCUGUGCCUGCCCAGGUGACCCAGCUAUGACUACCCAGGCGACCCCAGCUGUGACUGCCCAGGCGACCCCAGCUGUGACUACCCAGGCGACCGCAGCUGUGACUACCCAGGUGACCCCAGCUGUGCCUGCCCAGGUGACCGCAGCUGUGGCUACCCAGGUGACCCCAGCUGUGACUGCCCAGGCGACCCCAGGUGUGACUUCCCAGGUGACCCCAGCUGUGCCUGCCCAGGUGACCCAGCUGUGACUGCCCAGGCGACCCCAGCUGUGACUGCCCAGGCGACCUCAGCUGUGACUACCCAGGCAACCCCAGCUGCGACUGCCCAGGCGACCCCAGCUGUGACUGCCCAGGUGACCCCAGCUGUGCCUGCCCAGGUGACCGCAGCUGUGGCUACCCAGGUGACCCCAGCUGUGACUGCCCAGGCGACCCCAGCUGUGACUUCCCAGGUGACCCCAGCUGUGCCUGCCCAGGUGACCCAGCUGUGACUGCCCAGGCGACCCCAGCUGUGACUGCCCAGGCGACCUCAGCUGUGACUACCCAGGCAACCCCAGCUGCGACUGCCCAGGCGACCCCAGCUGUGACUGCCCAGGUGACCCCAGCUGUGACUGCCCAGGCGACCCCAGCUGUGACUGCCCAGGCGACCCCAGCUGUGCCUGCCCAGGUGACCCAGCUGUGACUGCCCAGGUGACCCCAGCUGUGACUGCCCAGGUGACCCCAGCUGUGCCUGCCCAGGCGACCCCAGCUGUGACUGCCCAGGCGACCCCAGGUGUGCCUGCCCAGGUGACCCCAGCUGUGACUUCCCAGGUGACCCCAGCUGUGCCUGCCCAGGCGACCCAGCUGUGACUGCCCAGGUGACCCCAGCUGUGACUGCCCAGGUGACCCCAGCUGUGACUGUCCAGGUGACCCCAGCUGUGACUGCCCAGGUGACCCCAGCUGUGACUGCCCAGGUGACCCCAGCUGUGACUGUCCAGGCGACCCCAGCUGUGACUGCCCAGGAGACCCCAGCUGUGACUGCCCAGGUGACCUCAGCUGUGACUGCCCGGGCGUGCCCAGCCAUGCUGCCCAGUUGCCACUGGCUCUGGGGCCUCCGGGGGACCCUCACUGCGCCCUUCCCAGCUGCACUUCCUGCCUUGCUCCCGACCCUCGCUCUGGGGUCCGGGCCCCACUUGAGGACUGCUGGAUCCUCCCUCGCUGUCAGGCCUGUUGUGCAGCUGGAGGCCAAGCCGCCCCCAUUCCAAAGUGAGUCCCUAGGGAGGCCCCUAGGGCCAGGGCAACUGUGACAGGUGCAGGGUCACCUGCAGCUAGACGCCGACGCCCUGGCUCAGGAGAAGAGCUCAGAACCGUGUCUGCCCCCCCCACCCCUCCACCCUGUGUAAGCUCCAUGCCCUGGCAUUCGGCGGGGACCUGGGCCUGGGACUGACAUUGAGGAGCACACGCUGAGGGCCAGGCCCCUGCCCUCUCCCCAGAGCCCCAGCACAUGGGAAGGCGUGGCUGUCCCCCACUUCCCUCCACUGCCCCAGGCCCUGGACAGGACAGGGGUGGGGCCUCCUACCUGGCCUGUGAGUUUCGUUCCUGGCCGAGGUGGGGAGACUUGUGCUGGUGUCGGGGAAGGGGGCUUCCGAGGAGGUGUUGGUGACCCUGUCACUGCUGAGCUCCAGGUAGGACCCGUUGAGCAGCUCAGCACCGGCUCCCUCGUUCUCCUCGUAGCCCAGUCCAGGCUGUCAGCCAGGGAGCUCCCGGGGCCGCCCGGGGCGAAGAUGCUGUUCACUGUC
rnacentral:lncRNA from 1 species